rnacentral:rRNA from 1 species
UACAGAGGGUGCAAGCGUUAAUCGGAAUUACUGGGCGUAAAGCGUGCGUAGACGGUUACAUAAGUCGGAUGUGAAAUCCCCGGGCUCAACCUGGGAAUGGCAUUCGAGACUGCGUAGCUAGGGUGCGGAAGAGGGAAGCGGAAUUUCCGGUGUAGCGGUGAAAUGCGUAGAUAUCGGAAGGAACACCAGUGGCGAAAGCGGCUUCCUGGUCCAGCACCGACGUUCAGGCACGAAAGCGUGGGGAGCAAACAGG